rnacentral:lncRNA from 1 species
CCAGGUUGCAGCGUAGCAGAAAAUAUCCCAGAUUGUGCAAUGCUUUCAUUAGCCUGUUGAUUUUCUUCCAGUCGUGGCGCUAUAGUUCUGCCACCGUAAAAGCCUGAGAACGAGGAGUGUAAGCCUACCGCAGAACAUAGGAGACGUUUUACUUUACCACAUCUCGACUCGUGAGCUGACCGUUUUAAAGAUAUCAUGUUCGUUUGAGGGAGAAAGCGGAUUCCACACUGAUGUUACGGCCCUACAGUACCUGAGGCAGUGGAAAUCUGGGGAGACGAGCAUCCACAGGAGAUCCAGUGAGAGGGAAGAGGGCGUCCAGAGAACCAGGGCCUCCGGACCCACUCAGAGCAAAGCAGCAGCACAGUAGGGAUGAGCGAGUUCUGGCACAAGAUUGGUUGCUGUGUGGUGGCCAAACCUCCACCGGUGAGUUUGUCCCUUCUGAGAAAUUACUGGAUCACAGUAACUUUUUAGCUGCUGUGCUAGCCCUGCUUUUACAGCUCCAAGGUCAAUGGGUCAAGAUUAAGGGUUUGCCUGAUUUUAAGAUGUUUACCUGCCUCCCAAGAGUUUGGAUAUUAGAUUGACCACACCACCAUAUCUACAACUUCACUAGUUGAAGUUAGUUCAGCCAUGCCAGCUGUGGAUCCUCAAGAUGCAUGGCAUGGGAUGACAUGGGUAUCAUUAGCUGAUUCUUCAGCCAGUCAACAACACUAGUGAGAAGAGAGCCCUCUGCUCCUGUCAGUGGCCUGAGAAAUAGGUCCGGUAGAUGGUGAGGAAGUGGAAGAAGGAAUGACUCAGGCCUUUUCUGUUGUUUUGAAGUGGGUGACCCACAUAGUCCCGGGUCUGCCUAUCUGGAGGGCUAGACUUCAGUCCAGACAAAGACUGCUCUGUCAUUAGACAUUACCUCUUGAAUCAUGAUUAAGAAGACGUAGGUUAGGCCGGGUUCAACCUUAGUCUAGCUCAUAGACGUGUAACUUCAUAAAAAGAAACACUCCACUAUUACCAGAUCAGAAAAUAUCAAGUCU